CAGUCGUACCUGCGGGUAAUCAGCCUUUCGGGUAUGAUUCUGUGGAGUGUGGGGAGCUAAACACCCUCAUGCCUGCAUAUUCGUGCUCUUGGGUGUACUUGCUCGUGUGGUUGGUUAACAUCAAUUUUGGUUAUCAAUAAAAUGGUUGGAGGAAUGUAGCUUGAUCUCGUAUUGAAGUUGUUAUAGUCUUCGGCAGAUGUGAUGA
rnacentral:rRNA from 1 species